CCCGUAAAUGCCGGCGGAUCCGCGCCCGCUCCGCUUUGUGCGGUGGAUGCUCAUCCUGCUCAUCCUGGGCUGCGGCGGGACCGUCGUUCAGAGCGCUGUGCGGAGCCCGGCACCGGGGGGCUGCUCCCGGCGCUGCGCCGAGCCCGAGGCGCUGAGAGCACAGGACAUUCUGAGUGGGAAUGGAUACACAAGGACCGCCAAGUCGAACCCUUAUGUGAAUGGCUCCUCUGGCGAUUGAACCCACACCUGGCCAUUCUCAGCACCCUGCUCCAACCAAGCCACUCUCAGCUCCUGGCAAUGUCCUGCCUGGGAUAGGAAUGCCAAGUGCCAGCAAGGUUCAUUCCUAUGCAAAUACAGCUCCUUCUUUUAUGCUAAUGCUGCUUUCCACACCAGCCCCUGCAAUGGCCACAGGGCAGACCUCCAUGGCCAGCACCUGAUCAUGCAACAACACAGGUGCCCUGGGGAUGCCAGGGAGGUGCCUUUGCCCACAGUGCCUUUCUCCUGCCCCUCUCCAGCCUGAGGCCUCUUCUCCCUUCCCUGCCAGCUGCUGCCAAGGAAGGAGGACACAUUCCCCACUGAGAAGAACACAACCUCACAGCUGUUAAGGCCUGACAGUUCCCUGCAGGGAGAGCUCAGCACAUGUGCCCAGAGGCAAUCCCAGCAUCUGCAA